CAGCGUCUUUAUAUAUUUAUUUGCAUUUGAGGCAGAAAGGGCGGGAAAGCACUCAAUGAGGCGCGUGAGGUGAGAGGUGAGGUGAGGACAGCCAGGCUGAAUGAUUGACUGGUGGGCCUCGAGGUGGAACCUUCUGUCGCAGAAAAGGCCUGGAGAGACUGGCCCCUUACUCUUCUCUGAGGAACGGAACCCCAAAAACAUAGAUUUAAAGAGACAGACUGAGAAAACAGCUGCCCAGGAGCAGAGACCUCCACACUCAUCGCACAGGAACAGAGCACAGUUCAGAGAGAAGCAAAGCCAGGCGGAAGAAGAGCCGGAAGUGAGAGGCAGACGAUGGUGACGCCAAGGGCUCAGAGGCGAGGAGAAGUUGUGAUGGAGUCAUAGAGAUGAGGGGACAGAAAUGGGGCCCACAGUCACGUUGGAGGAUCUGAGCUAGGGCCCUGGGGAAGGGGCUUGGGGAUGGUGACAGGCAGAGCUGGGACAACAGGUGUCAGAAGUGGAACUGACAGGAAAAGGAUAAAGUCAGAGGCCAAGGAGAAGAUGAAACGGGGGACCAGGGAGAAGCGACCGCGAGACAGACGGAGAGGGCAGUGAGGCACAGCCAGGGACGGAGGUGAGGCCGUCUGGGAAGAGUGGCGGAUGCCGAGGACAGUGGUCCAGGUGGGAAAGCCUCGGGAGGUGCGUACAGGACGGCGACAGGGACAAAGACCAAGGCCGAAGUGCUAGAGGGGAGAGACGAGGGGCAGCAGUGACACACGGAGAAGGGACGGCGAAGACAGACGCAGGGGAUGACAGUACAGGGGCCGGCGAGGGGAGACAGAGGUACAAGUCAUGCCGCCAAGAGGGACAGAAACAGAGCAGGUGCCAGAGACAAGGCUGGAGACCACAGCGACGGCAGCAAAGCGAACGCAUCGCGACGCAGCGGGCAGGGAUGCAGGGACCCAUGUCGGAGACACAGGAGAGAGUAACAGACACGGAGUGGGCUGGGGCCACACAAGUGAGGAGGCAGAGCGUGAGGGGCCAGGACGCAGAGCAAACGGAAGCAGAGGAGCAGGGAGAGCGGAUUCAGACUGAAGGAGACAGGGGAGUCGCACGGGACAGCGUCUGAGGGGACAGCAGGAGAAGCAGAGACCCACAGUAGAGGGCCACAGUGGUGGAGUCCCUGAGUUCCAGGGUCAGGAGCAGCGCAUUCGAUGACAGAGAUGAAGGAACAGAGGCAGAGUGGAGGGCAACAGAGGGCUCCGUGGCCAAGGUGCUGGACACAGAAGCAAAAGGCACUGAGACAGCCCGAGGGCAGAGCAAGAACAGCAGCGACGACAUCUUGUGCCACAGACCGAACGCCAACACUCAGCAGAGACCAUUCGGGAUGGUUCCACGGAAGCACAUUUCCCUGAAGCCCUUCUGUUGGCUGAGAGCGCCCAGAAGUCACUGGGCACCUCGGCUAACGGCCCCAUGGCCCAUUUCCAGAGCCAGCCGGGCAGCGCCGCAGCCUCUGCGCUGCUGGCGUCGGCUGCCUCGAAGGCCCCAGCAACCGUGCCUUCCCUGCGUUCAGCGCAACUGACUGGAAACCGCGGAUCCGCAGGCAGCCCGGGCCCUCGCUGCCUUCCUAGAUGGGUGCACAGGGGCGUCCGUGUCACAGGGAGCGCGCGGGCCACGCUCACCACGCAGACCCCCAGCUUCCAGACGGGGUGGGGGCAGCAGGGGCUGCUGCGUGUCAGCCGCUGUGCUCAAACUUGACAUGCGUAUAACGUACCUCUUAUGACAGCCCUCGUAAAUACAAACGAGCACCCUGUUUUACACUUGGGAAAACAGGGUCAGAGUGACAGGGUGAUUUGUCCCACAACGUGGUGAGGUGGUGUCAGAGGCAGGAUUUGCAUUUGGGCCUGUCUGGCUCAACAAAAGCAUUGAAAGGAGAGCCUCGCGUUCGUGUCUGUGGUCCGUGUGUCUAUGUGUUCAUAAAUAUUUCCUUUCAGAAGCUUGCUUUUCAGUCACACAGUGAUGUAUGGAAACAAUGUCCAUCUUAAUGGCUGGGCUUGGUGGCCUGCGCCUGGGACCCCAGCACACCGGGGCGGGAGCGGUUGAG